CCUACGGGCGGCUGCAGUGAGGAAUAUUGGUCAAUGGACGCGAGUCUGAACCAGCCAAGUAGCGUGCAGGAUGACUGCCCUAUGGGUUGUAAACUUCUUUUAUAUGGGAAUAAAAUGUUCCACGUGUGGGAUUUUGUAUGUACAAUAUGAAUAAGAGUCGGCUAAAUCUGUGCGAGCAGCGGCGGGAAUACAGAGGAUCCGAGCGUUAUCCGGAUUUAUUGGGUUUAAAGGGAGCGUAGGUGGAUUGUUAAGUCAGUUGUGAAAGUUUGCGGCUCAACCGUGAAAUUGCAGUUGAAACUGGCAGUCUUGAGUACAGUAGAGGAGGGCGGAAUUCGUGGUGUAGCGGUGAAAUGCUUAGAUAUCACGAAGAACUCCGAUUGCGAAGGCAGCUCACUGGACUGCAACUGACACUGAGGCUCGAAAGUGUGGGUAUCAAACAGGAUUAGAUACCCGUGUAGUC
rnacentral:rRNA from 1 species